rnacentral:lncRNA from 1 species
UUUAGUAAUACACCAUCAGGGCGUUUCUUAAAUAACUCUUCGUCUAUUAGUAUGUAAUUCAGCGAACAUAACUUUGUUUUCCUACUAAUUCUUCCAUUAGGUUCUUGAAGGAACCCUUUAAUCUCUGUCCGCCAAUCCACUGCAUCUCCAUCUUGUAUACAGUGAAGUUCAAUUUUUCUCACCCUUCUUUGAAUUACGGGCAAUAUGAUUCCAUAUUCGCAAGUAGACUUCCAAUCCAAGAUUUUAGAGUACCCUGAAGCCAUUUGGGCCAACUCAN